GGAUACAAAUCUGCAUUUAUAUGAGAUGGCAUCAAGAGGCUGCAAGCAUCCGGCAGACGUAUUUUGCUAUGUCUGCGGCCAAUUUAUCAAGACAAGAGCGAAAACGUACUCUGUGGAAGCAUCUGCUAAAAUGUGUGAGGCCUCCAAGGCAUAUUUCGGCAUUCCUGUCGGGGAUAAAGACAAACCCUGGGCACCUCAUUUCACCUGCGAGCAAUGAAAAAAAAAACUCUGGAAGGAUGUACAGAGGGGAAAAGAGAGCCAUGAAGUUCGCUAUCCCAAGAAUUUGACGGGAACCCACUGACCACUCAAGCAACUGCUACUUCUGCAUAGUGGACCCUUAUAAACGUCGGACUGGCAAGAAUGCACCUGCUAUCACAUAUCCGGACCUUCCUUCAUCCAUUGCCCCGGUGCUACACUGCCAUGAGCUCCCCGUACCCACUCCUCCGGAGAGAAAGCAGCCGUCUUUAGAAGAGAACAGCAAGUCAGAGAGCGAGGAAGACGUUGUAGAUCCAGAUGACAAUUUCAGAGGUGGGGCUGAGGAGAGAAACCCAUACUACCCCAACCAAAAAUACAUCAACGUCUUGAUCAGAGAUCUUGGUCUCACCAAGUCCAAUGCCGAGCUUUAGACGUCUAGGCUCAAGCAGUGGAACUUGUUGGAUGAAAGUGUGCAAGUUGCAGAUCAGAGGAAGCGUCACCAACCUUUUUGCAGCUUCUUCACCCGUCAAGAUGAGCUCUGCUUCUGCCACAAUGUGACCAGUCUGUUCGAGGCAAUCGGAAUCGCCUUUAACCAGAUUGAGUGGCGCUUCUUCUUUGCAGCUCAUCCAGAGGCCUCAAAACCGUGGUGCUCCGCUCCAUAUGAUGAGUACGGCUGGCAGGUCAUUGGAGACUUCAAAAGGGUGGCAUUCUUGAUGGGUCUCCAAGGCGGUUUUUACCAAGUUUCCCUGAUAUCUUUGCCAUUGGGACAGCAGGGACACCAAGGUGCACUACCACAGGCGGGACUGGCCACAGCGGACCGAGUUCUUUGUGGGGAGGAACAACGUCAAGUGGGAGCCCCUGGUGGACCCCCGGAAGGUGCUGAUGCCACCACUGCACAUAAAAUUGGGCCUUAAGAAACAAUUUGUCAGAGCUGUAGAUAAGGAGUCGGUAGCCUUCUAGUACCUUCAAGACUUCUUCAACAAGCUGUCUGAGGCAGAGGUCAAAGCCGGUGUCUUCGUCGGACCACAGAUAAAGAAUAUCCUGGAGUGCAAUGAAUUCCACAAGAAGCUCACUAGUAAGGAGAAAGUGGCUUGGAACAGCUUUGUCGCAGUGGUUCGUGGCUUCCUGGACAAUCACAAGGUCAAAAAAUAUGUGGAGCUGGUUGAGACUGGUGAAGAACUACGGCACAAUGGGCUGGAGGAUGUCCCUCAAAGUCUAAAUCCUUGGUGCUCAUCUUGAUAAAUUCAAGGAGAACAUGGGAGCGUAUUCGGAGGAGCAAGGCGAGCGCUUCCACCAGGAUAUACUGGACUUUGAACGCCGCUACCACGGAAAGUAUAACAAAAACAUGAUGGGAGACUACAUUUGGGGACUGAUUCGUGAACGUGAUUUACAGUAUAAUUGUAAAUCUCGAAAAACUACUCACUUGUAAAUCUUUCGUAGUAAUUUUUGUAUUACUUUAGUUUAAACACAUGCAAUUUUUAUUCAUAUGUAGUUUUUUCUGACUUUAUGUGAACUAAAAGAUACAAAUUCGCCCGUUUUCUCAUUUAAAAUAGGUAAAUUUCAAAAUAGCACUGUCCUGGCCUCAAAUGCAAAGUUUGUGGGGAAUGAUCGCCAUUUUCUCUCCUUUUAAGCAUAAGCAAUUAGGAAAUAACACUUACCAGCCAGGAAAAAAAAGUUGUUACAAAGUGUAAUUUAAAAGUGCAUAGCUCCAGUGGCAGAAGGAAGAGCGUUCCAGACGGUCACAGAAACGCGUCUGAAAGCGCGCGAUGCGGUGACCAUCUGUUGUUCGAUGGCGAGCCAAAAAUCCGCCGCUGCGAGGAUGAGCGGAGUUCGUGUGACGGUUGUUUAUGCUCCUUGACGAGAUCAGCGAGGUACUGUGGUGCAUUUGUGGCGAGCACUUCGUGUACGUAAUGAGAACACGCGCAUGGGUUAGAAAACACGCGCGGGUUCAAGGCACAAACCAAAGUGUUAAGAAGAAGAAUAAUCGGGCUCUGGCAGCAGCUGUCGCUCGAAGGGAUGAUGAUGAUGGUCAAUAAUUAUGAUCGAGUGGCAGUCAAGGGAUGGAAUGCGUCCGCGAAGACGUCCAAUGUGGAGAAUUAGUUAUGAAAUCAGCUCGUGUGCAGGUGCGAUCAUGUGGAACUGUGCAUUGCAGGAUUCUGAUAGAUGGCAACGGCUUGCGGAGGCCUUCAUCCAGCAGUGGAUUGAUCAGGGCUGCUGAUGAUCAUGAUGGCGAUCAUGAAGUAAAAUCGCCGGCAGCUGACAGUAUAUAUUUCUUGGUUACCAGUGGAAUCUGUUGUUCAGUCGCAUAGCGCUGCACCUAAAAAUAAACGCAAAGUGGUUUU